UUCCGGUUGAUCCUGCCGAAGGCUACUGCUAUUGGAGUUCGAUUAAGCCAUGCGAGUCUAAGGGAUCUUCGGAUCCCUGGCGUAAUGCUCAGUAACACGUGGAUAAUCUACCCUCAGGUGGGGCAUAAACCCGGGAAACUGGGGCCAAUUCCCCAUAAAUACAGAUGGCUGGAAUGCUUCUGUAUUCAAAGCUCCGGCGCCUGAGGAUGAGUCUGCGGCCUAUCAGGUUGUAGUCAGGGUCAUGACCUGACUAGCCAGCGACGGGUAUGGGGUGUGAGAGCACUUGCCCAGAGAUGGUUUCUGAGACACGAAACCAGGCCCUACGGGGCGCAGCAGGCGCGAAAACUUCGCAAUGCGGGAAACCGUGACGAGGGAACUCCAAGUGUCUAUGCAUUGCAUAGACUGUUUUUUAGCCUAAAUAGCUAUUAGAGUAAGGGGUGGGUAAGACCGGUGCCAGCCGCCGCGGUAACACCGGCACCCCGAGUGGUAGCCACUAUUAUUGGGCCUAAAGCGUUCGUAGCCGGUUUGGUAAAUUCUUGGGUAAAUCGUACCGCUUAACGGUGCGGAUUCCGGGGACACUACCAGACUUGAGACCGGGGGAGAUCAGAGGUACUUGCGGGGGAGCGGUGAAAUGUUGUAAUCCCGCAGGGACCACCAGUGGCGAAGGCGUCUGAUCAGAACGGCUCUGACGGUGAGGAACGAAACCCUGGGGCGCAAACGGGAUUAGAUACCCCGGUAGUCCAGGGCGUAAACGCUGCUGACUUGGUGUUGGGGAUCCUACGAGGAUGUCCAGUGCUGGCGCGAAGGUAUUAAGUCAGCCGCCUGGGGAGUACGGUCGCAAGACUGAAACUUAAAGGAAUUGGCGGGGGAGCACUGCAACGUGUGGAGCGUGCGGUUUAAUUGGACUCAACGCCGGGA
rnacentral:rRNA from 1 species